GGACAACUGAAUCCUAUGCCCCUUCCCACCCAGGGAACCUGGUGCCAGAAAUUCCCAGGACUUACCCACCAUCCACCACGCCACAUAGCAAGUGUCCUCAGUGUCUGCAGACCAGAAACAACUCCCUUGUGUCUCAGCACUGGGCCACCUGCUGAAACCCCAAACUGCCUGCCCCAUUGUUUGAGACCCAGUCAGGCCUUGGCUCCAAAAGUCCUCUUGGACUGCCACUGGCCCCCAGGGUCUCUCCUGACUGCACCUCGGUCCCGGAGCUCCCACACCGCUGGGCCCCGAGCCCCAUGCCCCGAUCCAGCUGUGGCUCCUUUACGGGGGCCUUGCUGGCCUUUCCUAAGGGAGGUGUUUUCCCGAGGGCAGGUGGACUGCUCCUCAGACUAGGGGCCCUCGGAGGGCCAGGCCUGGGCUUCUACCUCCUCUCGCAGGCUGGUGUUUCUCUGCAAAUAUGGCUCGUGUGUCCUCCUUCCUCUCAGACUGGGGGCCCCUGAGGACUGGGCCUGAGUUUCCCUCUCCCCCUUCAGAAUGGGGGUUCCCUGAGGACUGACCCAGGGCCUCCCCCCGUCCCCUCCAUCUGGCUGUUAAUCUCCAACACUUCCACCUCCAGUCCUAUUCUGCACAGCGCUCCCCAGCGCUGGGAGCUCAGAGGCCUCUUCAGCCUUCCCCAGGGCUGGGGCUCAGGGAGGGCUUCCUCAGGCGCUGGCCCCAGAGUCAGGCUGCACAUUGGCUUGGAGGACAGGCCUUUCCUCUGGGACUGUGAGGCCCAGAGUGCCCACCCAGAACUCCACCUCUGACCUCACAAAGGCCUGCUUCAGAACUCAGUCUCCACUGCACUGCUGGCCAGACGAGGGAUGUUAUUUUGGGCAGUGCAUCUGGACUUGGUUCAAGUGGCACCAGCCAAAUCCCUGCCUUACUGACCUCUCCCCUGGAGGAGCAGGAGCAGCGCUCAAGGCCGCCUUGGGAGGGCUGAGAGGCAGGCUCUGGACUGGGGACACAGGGAUAGCUGAGCCCCAGCUGGGGGUGGAAGCUGAGCCAGAGACAGUCACAGAGGAACAAGAUCAAGAUGCGCUUUAACUGAGAAGCCCCCAAGGCAGAGGCUGAGAAUCAGAAGACAUUUCAGCAGAAACAUACAUAUGAUAGUUGAGAAAGACACAUAUUCUGAUCAUGAAGAAAUAAACACAAGUUAAAUAUGACUAAGCAGAAAGAUGGAAGGACCAGGAACGGUGAUGCUAACUUGGAACCACGAUGCAGGCUCUAAUCUCCUCUACAAUCAUCCUCCCUUGUGAGAAAAAUACCUACUGUUUAAGACAGAAUUCAUCAAGUAGCAGAAGUGAUGGAAGGGCCAAGGGGAAGAAAGAUGGACAAAACCUGAAAAUUGAAAGUGCAAUAAAAUGAAAAUUACAAAUGAAAACCAGUAUGCCUGAGAUAUACAUGACUGUUUAGUAGAGUGUCUUCAUGUGGGUUAAAGAAGAAAAGGAAUUACCAGCUGGAAUCAGCAGAACAGAUUUAGCACUUGACCCUUGGAUACUUUUCAUUCUAUUUAUCUAUCAUAUUUUUAUUGGUUUGUAUUCCAUUGACUACUAUAUGCACCGACCCUCAGCAAAUUCAUUCAAUAGAGAGGAGAGAUUAUAUCUCCACUGUAUCAGUGGAGCUGCUUAGGAACAUUUCUCCCGCUUCUUGUAUGUAUUUUGUCCUAUUUGUACAUUGUAUUUUAUGAGCUGCUUUAGAAUAGUAGAAUAACUUUCCUUUAUAUGGUAUAGAACUUUUGAUAUAUCUCAAAGAAAUUUUUAAAAAAUGAUCAAUUGAAAUGUAUGUUCUCAUACUGUAUGUGCAAAUAUCAGUAGAACAAACACUAAGGAUUAAUGAAAAUGAAAAUCCUAAUAUAUUAAACUUAGAAAAAUAGACUAAAUAUUUACUGAAAAGAAACAGAUAACCAAAAUUUCGUGAUACACAAUGAAAAGCCUUGAGACAUUAAAGAGGACUUUCACUGUCUUUGAUGAUGUCAUCUUUUACAUAUUAAGUUCUUCUAGCAUGGUAACUAGAACUAAACUUUUAACUUCCUUUUAAACCACACACUGAAUGCAUCUGUGAAAAAGACCUGCAUACUACAAGAUAACUUUAAUUACAUAUCUUCUGUGGGGUCCGUGCUUUUAGUUUAGUAUAGGUUUAUGCAAAGUGAUACUAUUGGUAAUGUGUAAUUUAAACACACACACAAACUAACAGGCCCUGCCGCCUAUCAAUGUCUGGGUGAUAUCAGAGAAGGCCGUGUGGGAAUCUAGAACUUUCUUCUCUGCCAGGUAGUUACAAUGUGCCCCGUCCUUCUCCACCAGAUUCCUUAGGUGUCAAAGUAAACUAAGUGAGAAGGUGGAACUUUCACCAUCAUCUAGUGGUAAAAAGGUCCAAGGCCUCCUGAUGUUUGCCUUCCCUUCAGUGUAGGCCAUAGUGGGAGCAGAAACAAGAAAAAAAUCCCCCACUCUCCAAAGGUGGUUGAGCAGGGAUAAAUUUUUAUCACCACCUAGCAAUAACAAGGCACCCCCACUUUCACCAUGUGUGGUGUCACAGGAGGUUUAUUUCCAAGAGUUAAAAUACAGAGCCUCAUAGCAUAAUAUCCAAAUUACCCUAGAUACGUUGAAAAUUACUCAGCAUGUCAAGCACCAGAAAAAAAUCUCAUCUUGAAUGAGAUAACACAUGCCAACACAGUGAUAACACAUAAAUUAGAUUUAUUCACAAGGAUUUUAAAGUCACCACCAUAAACAUGUUUUAAUGAGCAAUUGCGAAUAUGCUGGAACAAAUGAAACAAUGGAAAGCUUUACAAAGAAAUAGAAGAUGCCAAGAGACAAAUAGAAAUUUUGGCACUGAAAAAUAUAAUUGAAACUUUAAAAAAUACUUGAUGGCUCAGUAGGGUAAUGGAGGAAAUAGAGAAAAGAAUAAGUGAACUUGAAAAUAGGACAUUAAAAAUUUACUAAUCCAAAGACCAGAGGGAAUAUAGACUGAAAAUGAAAAAAAAAAAAAAAAAAAAAGAACAGAGCCUCAAGGACCUAUAAGACUAUAGCAAAAAAUCUACUAUUCAUGUCACCAGAGUCCUAGAAGGAAAGGCAAAAGUGGGUUGGGCUAAAAAUAUAUUUGAAAAAAUAAUGUCCAAAACGUUUUCGAGUUUGGCAAAAGACAUACAACUACAGAUUCAAGAAAUGAGAAAAUCUAAAAUGGGACAGACACAAAAAAAUCAACAAAGAAACAGGGCAAUUUCAGAAAACAGCAGAAGAAAAAAUCUUGGAAACAGUGAGGUAAAACAAUGCUUCAUCUCUCCAGAAGAAAAACAAUUUGAAUGACAAUGAUUUCCUGUCAGAAAUAAUGGUGGCCAAAAGGAAGUGAUAUAUUUCUCAAGUACUGCAAAACAAGAACUGUCAAUCCAGUAUUCUGUAUUAGGCAAAAAUGUCCUUUAGAAAUGAAGGAGAAUUAAAUAAAUUCUCAGAAGAAGAAAAAUUAAGAAUUGGUUGCAAACAGACCUACCCUAAAGAAAAGCAAAAAGUUCUUGAAACAUAAAAUGAAUAAGGGGCCUGAAAUCAUCAGAAAAAUGUAAGAGUAACAGAAAGGCAAAAAUAUGAGUAAGUACAACAGAUUUUUCUUCUUGAGUUUUCUAAAUUAUGUUUGACUUUUGAAUCAAAAACUGUAACAUCGAAAUGGUUAUCAAUACCUAAAUGAAAAAUUUUAAAAAUUAUAUAAACAAGGAUGGGUAAAGAGACUUCCAACAAGAUAAGAUUUUUACACUUCACUAGAAGUGUUAGAUAUUUUGAUAGUGGUAGUGGUCACAAGAAUUUACACAUGUAAUAAAAUGACAGAUGUAUGCAUACACAUUUUUUCAAUGUCAAUUUCUUGGUUUUAAUGUUUUAC
rnacentral:lncRNA from 1 species